rnacentral:rRNA from 1 species
UACGAAGGGGGCUAGCGUUGUUCGGAAUCACUGGGCGUAAAGCGCACGUAGGCGGAUCGUUAAGUCGAGGGUGAAAUCCCAGGGCUUAACCUGGGAACUGCAUUCGAGACUGCAUUGCUAGAGUAUGGGAGAGGGAAGUGGAAUUUCCAGUGUAGCGGUGAAAUGCGUAGAUAUCGGAAGGAACAUCAGUGGCGAAAGCGACUUCCUGGACCAAUACUGACGCUCAUGUGCGAAAGCGUGGGGAGCAAACAGG